CUACGGGCCGCUGCAGUGGGGAAUAUUGCACAAUGGGGGAAACCCUGAUGCAGCAACGCCGCGUGGGGGAUGACGCAUUUCGGUGUGUAAACUCCUUUUAUAUAGGAAGAUAAUGACGGUACUAUAUGAAUAAGCACCGGCUAACUCCGUGCCAGCAGCCGCGGUAAUACGGAGGGUGCAAGCGUUACUCGGAAUCACUGGGCGUAAAGCGCGCGCAGGCGGCCCCUUAAGUUGGAUGUGAAAGCCUACGGCUUAACCGUAGAACUGCAUCCAAAACUGAGGGGUUAGAGUCUGGGAGGGGAAGAUGGAAUUAGUUGUGUAGGGGUAAAAUCCGUAGAGAUAACUAGGAAUACCAAAAGCGAAGGCGAUCUUCUGGAACAGUACUGACGCUGAGGCGCGAAAGCGUGGGGAGCAAACAGGAUUAGAUACCCUAGUAGUC
rnacentral:rRNA from 1 species